GCCGGGCGCGGUGGCUCGCGCCUGUAAUCCCAGCACUUUGGGAGGCCGAGGCGGGUGGAUCGCCUGAGAUCAGGAGUUCGAGACCAGCCUGACCAACAUGGUGAAACCCCGUCUCCA
rfam:Pan troglodytes isolate Yerkes chimp pedigree #C0471 (Clint) chromosome 15, whole genome shotgun sequence.